AGAGUUUGAUCAUGGCUCAGAUUGAACGCUGGCGGAAUGCUUUACACAUGCAAGUCGAACGGCAGCACGGGGCAACCUGGUGGCGAGUGGCGAACGGGUGAGUAAUACAUCGGAACGUGCCCAAUCGUGGGGGAUAACGUAGCGAAAGUUACGCUAAUACCGCAUACGAUCUACGGAUGAAAGCGGGGGAUCGCAAGACCUCGCGCGAGUGGAGCGGCCGAUGUCAGAUUAGGUAGUUGGUGGGGUAAAGGCUCACCAAGCAACCCGAUCUGUAGCUGGUCUGAGAGGACGACCAGCCACACUGGAACUGAGACACGGUCCAGACUCCUACGGGAGGCAGCAGUGGGGAAUUUUGGACAAUGGGCGCAAGCCUGAUCCAGCCAUUCCGCGUGCAGGAUGAAGGCCUUCGGGUUGUAAACUGCUUUUGUACGGAACGAAACGGCGAGCUCUAAUACAGUUUGCUAAUGACGGUACCGUAAGAAUAAACACCGGCUAACUACGUG
rnacentral:rRNA from 1 species